GCAAGUCUGGUGCCAGCAGCCGCGGUAAUUCCAGCUCCAAUAGCGUAUAUUAAAGUUGUCGCAGUUAAAAAGCUCGUAGUUGAACCUCGGGAUCAAUGGAUCGGUCAUGCCAUCGGUAUGUACUGGUCUCAUUGGUUCUCACCUUCUAAGGAACCAUGAUGUCAUUCAGUUGAUGUUGUGGGGAAUUAGGACUGUUACCUUGAAAAAAUUAGAGUGUUUAAAGCAGGCUAACGCUUGAAUACAUUAGCAUGGAAUAAUGAAAUAGGACAUCGCAUUCUAUUUUGUUGGUUUCUAGGAUCGACGUAAUGAUUAAUAGGGAUAGUUGGGGGCAUUAGUAUUCAAUUGUCAGAGGUGAAAUUCUUGGAUUUAUUGAAGACUAACUACUGCGAAAGCAUUUGCCAAGGAUGUUUUCAUUAAUCAAGAACAAAAGUUAGGGGAUCGAAGACGAUCAGAUACCGUCGUAGUCUUAACCAUAAACUAUGCCGACUAGGGAUCGGAUGAUGUUAAUUUUUUAAUGACUCAUUCGGCGCCUUACGGGAAAC
rnacentral:rRNA from 1 species